CCUACGGGAGGCUGCAGUGGGGAAUAUUGGUCAAUGGACGCAAGUCUGAACCAGCCAUGCCGCGUGCAGGAAGACGGCGCUAUGCGUUGUAAACUGCUUUUGUACGAGGGUAAACGCAGAUACGCGUAUCUGUCUGAAAGUAUCGUACGAAUAAGGAUCGGCUAACUCCGUGCCAGCAGCCGCGGUAAUACGGAGGAUUCGAGCGUUAUCCGGAUUUAUUGGGUUUAAAGGGUGCGUAGGCGGUCGGAUAAGUUAGAGGUGAAAUCCCGGGGCGCAACUUCGGAAUUGCCUCUGAUACUGGUCGGCUAGAGAGUAGUUGAGGUAGGCGGAAUGUAUGGUGUAGCGGUGAAAUGCAUAGAGAUCAUACAGAACCCCGAUUGCGAAGGCAGCUUACCAAGCUACUUCUGACGUUGAGGCACGAAAGCGUGGGGAGCGAACAGGAUUAGAUACCCUUGUAGUC
rnacentral:rRNA from 1 species